GAUUUCAGAGGAAACUUCAGUCAUGAGGUUUCUUUUCCUAACCUUUGCAUUGCUUCUUCUCUUCUAUGUUUCUUCAGGACAACCUGAUACCUGUGUGAAGAAAGGUGGCUUCUGCCAGAUUGGCCUCCAGAAAAAAUGUGUGUAUGGAAGUCUCCCGUACAACUGUGGCAUUAAUGCCAAGUGCUGCAAGCGUUUGCCGCAGUGAAACCACCAAUGACAAGCACCUGUGGAGGUGUGAAGCCCUGGGAGUUUAUUGCCAUGUUCCCUAACAAGAACUUUGCCUUUCUAAUCUGCAAUAUUCAGCCAAUUAUGGCAUCAAUGGAAGAUGUUGCAAACAGUUAUGUAACAACAAGCAGUGAAACAACAGUGUAAUUAAACAAUUUAAUGAAUUUAGAUCAAACAUUUGAAUUUUGAAUUAUAUUUUGAAAGCACCGGCUGCAAGUGCUGAUUUGAGUUUGAUUAAUGUGUUCCUAUGAAAUAAUGAACAAUUGCAUCCAUAAACUUUCC